rnacentral:rRNA from 1 species
GUAGUUUGAUCCUGGCUCAGGAUGAACGCUAGCUACAGGCUUAACACAUGCAAGUCGAGGGGCAGCAUGAACUUAGCUUGCUAAGUUUGAUGGCGACCGGCGCACGGGUGAGUAACACGUAUCCAACCGUGCCGAUGACUCGGGGAUAGCCUUUCGAAAGAAAGAUUAAUACCCGAUGGCAUAGUUCUUCCGCAUGGUGGAACUAUUAAAGAAUUUCGGUCAUCGAUGGGGAUGCGUUACA